rnacentral:rRNA from 1 species
GGCGAACGGGUGAGUAACACGUGGGUGAUCUGCCUUGCACUCUGGGAUAAGCUUGGGAAACUGGGUCUAAUACCGGAUAGGAACCGUCUUUAGUGUGGUGGUUGGAAAGUUUUUUCGGUGCAAGAUGAGCUCGCGGCCUAUCAGCUUGUUGGUGGGGUAAUGGCCUACCAAGGCGUCGACGGGUAGCCGGCCUGAGGGGGUGUACGGCCACAUUGGGACUGAGAUACGGCCCAG